AACGAACGCUGGCGGCAUGCCUAACACAUGCAAGUCGAACGAUGGUCUUCGGAUCAUAGUGGCGCACGGGUGCGUAACGCGUGGGAAUCUGCCCUUGGGUUCGGAAUAACAGUUGGAAACGACUGCUAAUACCGGAUGAUGUCGAUAAGACCAAAGAUUUAUCGCCCGAGGAUGAGCCCGCGUCGGAUUAGCUAGUUGGUGGGGUAAAGGCCUACCAAGGCGACGAUCCGUAGCUGGUCUGAGAGGAUGAUCAGCCACACUGGGACUGAGACACGGCCCAGACUCCUACGGGAGGAAGCAGUGGGGAAUAUUGGACAGUAGGCGCAAGCCUGAUACAGCAAUGCCGCGUGAGUGAUGAAGGCAUUAGGGUUGUAAAGCUAUUGUACCCGGGAAGAUAAUGACUGUACCGGGAGAAUAAGCCCCGGCUAACUCCGUG
rnacentral:rRNA from 1 species